UUUCCGUAGGUGAACCUGCGGAAGGAUCAUUUCCGAAAAAACAUUAUACCAACCCACCGUGUGCAGUGUUUUGGGUUUCUUUUUUACUCUCUCCCUUGUGACCGUGGUCGGUCCAUGAAAUGCAUGUCUAUGCAUCCAUGGGCGCAUUGUCACGUCUUGGGGGGAGAGGCCUUGAUGAACUACCUUUCUUAAUUGAAGGUUGAUGUACUCGGUUUUUUUUAAGCUGGUGUCGCCUGUGGCUCCUUUGCGAGUGCAGACGCAUGCCGAAAUUAAAAAAUGAUACGACAACUUUUAACGGUGGAUCUCUUGGCUCGU
rnacentral:misc_RNA from 1 species